rnacentral:rRNA from 1 species
GACGAACGCUGGCGGCGUGCUUAACACAUGCAAGUCGAACGGAAAGGCCCUGCUUUUGUGGGGUGCUCGAGUGGCGAACGGGUGAGUAACACGUGAGUAACCUGCCCUUGACUUUGGGAUAACUUCAGGAAACUGGGGCUAAUACCGGAUAGGAGCUCCUGCUGCAUGGUGGGAGUUGGAAAGUUUCGGCGGUUGGGGAUGGACUCGCGGCUUAUCAGCUUGUUGGUGGGGUAGUGGCUUACCAAGGCUUUGACGGGUAGCCGGCCUGAGAGGGUGACCGGCCACAUUGGGACUGAGAUACGGCCCAGACUCCUACGGGAGGCAGCAGUGGGGAAUAUUGCACAAUGGGCGGAAGCCUGAUGCAGCAACGCCGCGUGCGGGAUGACGGCCUUCGGGUUGUAAACCGCUUUCGCCUGUGACGAAGCGGGAGUGACGGUAAUGGGUAAAGAAGCACCGGCUAACUACGUG